rnacentral:lncRNA from 1 species
AGAUACCGUCAUGGCCAUUAACGCACAGACACGUAACGGAGAAUUUUGUACUGUGUAUGUGGUGGUUGAAGUCAGGAUCAAAGGAACGUAGUUCAAGACCCGAUUCACUCCGAUUCCUUCUGAUGAAAAUUGUUUACACUAAGGGCAUGUUUGGAUCACCUAUUUUAGAGUAUGGAAUCGGAAUGGAAUUCAUUGAUUCCGAUAGUUGAUGUUUGUUUUAUAGGAAUCGGAUUCCGAUUUCGAUUCCACUCCGGAAUGGGAAUGGCCAAAUCCAUUUAUGAUCCAAUCCGGCUUUGAAUCCCGGAUUUGCUCAUUCCAAAGUAAACUAUUCAAAAUCUUCUUUCAUCAACACAUACCUCCUCUCCCUUUAUCACUUUUCUCUCUCUUAAUCAAAACCCUCUGUAAAAAAUUUUAAAUUUUCAUUAUGAUUUCCAUUCCAAUAAUGAACCAAACAUUUUUGGAUGAUUCGUCAUUCCAUUUUCCAUUCCAAAGCAAUCCAAUUUUAUUUUCCAUUCCUAUUCUAAUCAUAAACCAAACAUACCCUAAGUGAGGUUAAGUCUCUUAAUGAUACCUCACCCAUUGCAUGUAUAAACACCCAGUAUUUUUCUUUUCUGACUUUAAUUUGUAUUUUAAGAAUUUUGAGUUUUGUGGGGGAUUGUUGGUUAAAAACUCAAAAUUUUAAAAUUUGAAUUUUAUUCUAUUUGAAUUUUUAAAUUAUUUAUUUAUUAUUUAUCGUUAUUUAUUAUUUUUAUAAUUUAUUUAAUUAUUUAUUUUUAUUAUCUUUCUUAAUGAAAAAGAAACUAACGGGAUAUUUUUCCGUUCCGUGUUU